UGGGGAAUAUUGGACAAUGGGGGAAACCCUGAUCCAGCCAUGCCGCGUGAGUGAUGAAGGCCUUAGGGUUGUAAAGCUCUUUCGCUAGGGAAGAUAAUGACGGUACCUAGUAAAGAAGCCCCGGCUAACUUCGUGCCAGCAGCCGCGGUAAUACGAAGGGGGCUAGCGUUGUUCGGAAUUACUGGGCGUAAAGCGCGCGUAGGCGGGUCUUUAAGUCAGGGGUGAAAUCCCGGGGCUCAACCUCGGAAUUGCCUCUGAUACUGGAGAUCUUGAGUUCGAGAGAGGUGAGUGGAACUCCGAGUGUAGAGGUGAAAUUCGUAGAUAUUCGGAAGAACACCAGUGGCGAAGGCGGCUCACUGGCUCGAUACUGACGCUGAGGUGCGAAAGCGUGGGGAGCAAACAGGAUUAGAUACCCGCGUAGUCC
rnacentral:rRNA from 1 species